AUACGUAGGGUGCGAGCGUUGUCCGGAAUUACUGGGCGUAAAGAGCUCGUAGGUGGUUUGUCGCGUCGUCUGUGAAAUUCCGGGGCUUAACUCCGGGCGUGCAGGCGAUACGGGCAUAACUUGAGUACUGUAGGGGAGACUGGAAUUCCUGGUGUAGCGGUGAAAUGCGCAGAUACCAGGAGGAACACCGGUGGCGAAGGCGGGUCUCUGGGCAGUAACUGACGCUGAGGAGCGAAAGCAUGGGUAGCGAACAGGAUUAGAUACCCUGGUAGUCCAUGCCGUAAACGGUGGGCGCUAGGUGUAGGGGUCUUCCACGACUUCUGUGCCGUAGCUAACGCAUUAAGCGCCCCGCCUGGGGAGUACGGCCGCAAGGCUAAAACUCAAAUGAAUUGACGGGG
rnacentral:rRNA from 1 species